rnacentral:tRNA from 1 species
GGAGAAUUGUCAGAGUGGCUUAUUGUGCUUCUUUGCUAAAGAAGUGGAGAUUAAAUGCUCCCACAGGUUCGAAUCCUGUAUUCUCCUCCA